UCCCCUAGUAACUGCGAGUGAAGCGGGAAAAGCUCAAAUUUAAAAUCUGGCGGUUUUGCCGUCCGAGUUGUAAUCUGGAGAAGUGUUUUCCGUGUUGGACCGUGUACAAGUCUCUUGGAACAGAGCGUCAUAGAGGGUGAGAAUCCCGUCUUUGACACGGACUACCAAUACUUUGUGAUACGCUCUCAAAGAGUCGAGUUGUUUGGGAAUGCAGCUCAAAAUGGGUGGUAAAUUCCAUCUAAAGCUAAAUAUUGGCGAGAGACCGAUAGCGAACAAGUACCGUGAGGGAAAGAUGAAAAGCACUUUGGAAAGAGAGUUAAACAGUACGUGAAAUUGUUGAAAGGGAAACGCUUGAAGUCAGUCGCGUUGUCCGGGACUCAGCCUUGCUUCUGCUUGGUGUAUUUCCUGGUUGACGGGCCAACAUCGAUUUUGGACGGCGGAUAAAGAUGGAGGGAAUGUGGCACCUUAGGGUGUGUUAUAGCCUUCUGUCGCAUACGUCGACUGGGAUCGAGGAUCGCAGCACGCCUUUUUGGCCGGGGUUCGCCCACGUAACGUGCUUAGGAUGUUGGCAUAAUGGCUUUAAUCGACCCGUCUUGAAACACGGACCAAGGAGUCUAACAUGCCCGCGAGUGUUAGGGUGGAAAACCCUUGCGCGUAAUGAAAGUGAAAGUUGGGACCUCUGUCAUGGAGGGCACCGACGCCCGGCCUUGAGCUUUUGUGACGGUGCCGCGGUAGAGCGUGUAUGUUGGGACCCGAAAGAUGGUGAACUAUGCCUGAAUAGGGCGAAGCCAGAGGAAACUCUGGUGGAGGCUCGUAGCGAUUCUGACGUGCAAAUCGAUCGUCAAAUUUGGGUAUAGGGGCGAAAGACUAAUCGAACCAUCUAGUAGCUGGUUCCUGCCGAA
rnacentral:rRNA from 1 species